ensembl:ncRNA F42D1.8 ncRNA
UGAUGAACAAUACAGCGAUGGUUUCGUCGCCAUACUUAAGCGAAGGAGACGACGACGACAGCGGUGGCGACCCGUCAUAUCAGUGUCCGUCCUUUUUCACAAAUAACGGUGAAGAGUGCCGGCGUCGAAAUGUGGAGU